AAACCCAUAAGCGCCGAGAACACUCAGCGCGACUACGCCCUCGCUGCCUAAGUAGCGACCGCGUGUCUGUCAGACCGGGCUCGUUCCCGACCCGGACCCUGGCAUCGACUAGGGAACUUGCCGUCCGACCGCGUCAGCGGGGUCGGGCGGGACACCUACCGCUGACUGGGCCCAUCAUCCGGAACGUGUUCGUCCGAGCCGGAGGGCCGAGCAGAGAUCCAGCGCGAACUGCGCACGGAGAAGCCCUGGCGAGGUGACGAAGGACCCGGGUUCAAUUCCCGGCAGCUCCACCG
rnacentral:tmRNA from 1 species